rnacentral:rRNA from 1 species
UGGGGUAUAUUGGACAAUGGGCGAAAGCCUGAUCCAGCCAUGCCGCGUGUGUGAAGAAGGUCUUCGGAUUGUAAAGCACUUUAAGUUGGGAGGAAGGGCAGUAAGCGAAUACCUUGCUGUUUUGACGUUACCGACAGAAUAAGCACCGGCUAACUCUGUGCCAGCAGCCGCGGUAAUACAGAGGGUGCAAGCGUUAAUCGGAAUUACUGGGCGUAAAGCGCGCGUAGGUGGUUCGUUAAGUUGAAUGUGAAAGCCCCGGGCUCAACCUGGGAACUGCAUCCAAAACUGGAGAGCUAGAGUAGGGCAGAGGGUGGUGGAAUUUCCUGUGUAGCGGUGAAGUGCGUAGAUAUAAGAAGGAACACCAGUGGCGAAGGCGACCACCUGGGCUCAUACUGACACUGAGGUGCGAAAGCGUGGGGAGCAAACAGG